GUGCAACGAUUAGCUCUGUGUUUGACUACUUAUAAGGAUUGUUUCCUUUUUUCAGCUCAGAAAUGUCCAGUCGUGGGAUGUUGAAAGCAGAAGAAAAAUAAGACCUCCUUAGUUACACCUCAGAGGAAAAAAAAAAAAAAAAAGAUGACUAUAACAAUGUUCUUAUAGGUCAAAGCUUUCAACAGGAUACAUUGCAGGCUGUUUCUAUCUGGGUCACACACACUGAACAGAGACGAGACAUGAAAGCUGCGGUGGGACUGCUGGUGCUGCUGGUCGGAGUUUCUUAUACUCCUGUGUCCUCUGUCCUGCUGGUCUCUGAGUGUCUGUCCCAGGGAGAGAUGAAGGUGUCCUGCUCCUCUGAGGGAGGGGACAGUCCUCAGUACAGCUGGACUCUGGAUGGACGCACACUGACAGAUGCUGAGCUUCUUUCUGUAAAUAAUGAGAGUAACAUCAUCACUCUGAAACAGCACGUCUCAGGACGUCUUGCCUGCUCAGUCAGAAACAACGUCUCCAAAGAGGAGAGAAUAUCUACCUGUGGCUGCAUUUUCAUUAACUGCACUUCAGUCAAUGGGUCACAGAUAUCACGGUGGGUGUAUAAAGCCAAUAACACCCUGUGUAUUAAAACAACAACAGAUCAUACACAAACUGGCAUCGUGUCAAAAGAAAACUCCACUAACAGCAGUGAUGAUCCAUGGUACAUUAGUAAGUGGAAAAUAAAAACCUGUAGUUCAAUGUGUGUAAUUUUCCUCUUCCUUCUUGUCCUUUUCUAUAAAAACAUGUUGUGUGUUUGCUGACUCAAACAUCUGUGUUUGUGGCUUUCUUUGUUUUGAACAGGAUAUUUCCCAAUGGUUAGUAUUGUUCUCUCAGCAGCUGUAAUUUACUUAGUUGUGGGUGUAGCACUCAUCUGUGCUCAGAGGAAAAAGCAAAACAACAGACCAACAAAACAAAAAGAUGAAGAAGGUGAGCACGAAGUAACAUAUGCUAAUCUAGGGGUCAUGAAACAGCAGGAGAAGCGAGUGGAGCAAACAGGACAGGUGGAAGCAGAGGUGGAGUAUGGCCAAGUCCACUUUUCAAAGCCGCUUCAGCACACUGAACCUACAGAAGAUGAUUGCUUGUAUGCCAGAGUUCAUAAAGUCAGGUGAAUUAAGAGCUUCUAUGCAGAAUAACCACUGAAGAGCCACAGAGGGAGGACUUGUUGUCAAGAUGUGUGAAUGUCUCUCAUUUAUUGUGAUUUUCAGUGUAUGAGCUUUUCACAUCAAUGCUCAUGCAUAUUGAUUUUCUUCACUUUCACUGCACUUGUUGUUCAUAACAAGGCAUAAAUCCAUACUGUAUUAGGUGGCUCUCAAUUACAAGCACCAUGAGUUUAUUAUUUUAUUUUUCAUUUGUAUUCUGUUAAAGAUCUGAGAUUUCCUCCUGUCAUCAUGUCAGCGUGACAAGUUUUUCACUUAUCUCGUUAAAAGAAUAAGGUAAAAUUGAAAAACUGAAUUGUUUGACAAAUUUCACUGCAGCAACACUUUACAGUGAUACAAAUUUACAUAUUGAAUAAAAACAAUAAUUUAAUAACUCAUUAUUGUUAAUAAAUUAUAAUAAUAAUACAUGUACUAAGUCAGACCUUCCCAAAGUGUGGGGCCCGCCCCCUAGGGGGGGCGCAGAGCCAUCGCAGGGGGUGCUCGGUAUGAAAAGGGAAAAAAAAAAAAAACAAUGCUUGGACACUGCUAGCACGGGGCUCCUAC
ensembl:lncRNA